UAGAGUUAGUAUUGUCUUGAUUGAUGACGAAGUCUUAAGAAAAGAAAAUGUCUCAAGAAAAAAAGAACGUAAAAUAGAUUUCAAUUUACCUAUUGUUGAUAUCGAUAGAUAUGAAACAUCGGAUAGUGAAAAUGAAUCUGAAACUGUAUUGGAGGAAUCCGAUUCCAACAGUGAGGAUAUUUCUUCUAAUGAAUCAGAAGAUGAUGAUGUUGUCGAAAAACCAAGUACAUCAGAACAUUCUACACAAGUGAAAAGUCAUGUUCAAAAACCAGUGGAGUCAAAACACA